rnacentral:rRNA from 1 species
GACGAACGCUGGCGGCGCGCUUAACACAUGCAAGUCGAACGGAAAGGCCUGCUUUCCCUUGUGGAUUGCGGGUACUCGAGUGGCGAACGGGUGAGUAACACGUGAGUGAUCUGCCCCCAACUUGGGUAUAAGCCUGGGAAACUGGGUCUAAUUCCCGAUAGGACUGCAGGGUGGUGCCUGUGGUGGAAAACGAUUUUCUAGUGGUUGGGGAUGAGCUCGCGGCCUAUCAGCUUGUUGGUGGGGUAAUGGCCUACCAAGGCGGCGACGGGUAGCCGGCCUGGGAGGGUGGACGGCCACAUUGGGACUGAGAUACGGCCCAGACUCCUACGGGAGGCAGCAGUGGGGAAUAUUGCACAAUGGGCGGAAGCCUGAGGCAGCGACGCCGCGUGGGGGAUGACGGCCUUCGGGUGGUAAACUCCUUUCGACCGCGAGGAAGCCACCUGGUUGGAAGGGUGGUGACGGUAGUGGUAGAAGAAGCACCGGCUAACUACGUG